rnacentral:rRNA from 1 species
AUUGAACGCUGGCGGAAUGCUUUACACAUGCAAGUCGAACGGCAGCACGGGUGCUUGCACCUGGUGGCGAGUGGCGAACGGGUGAGUAAUACAUCGGAACGUACCCAGUCGUGGGGGAUAACGUAGCGAAAGUUACGCUAAUACCGCAUACGUCCUGAGGGAGAAAGCGGGGGACCGUAAGGCCUCGCGCGAUUGGAGCGGCCGAUGUCUGAUUAGCUAGUUGGUGAGGUAAAGGCUCACCAAGGCGACGAUCAGUAGCUGGUCUGAGAGGAUGAUCAGCAACACUGGAACUGAGACACGGUCCAGACUCCUCCGGGAGGCAGCAGUGGGGAAUUUUGGACAAUGGGCGAAAGCCUGAUCCAGCCAUUCCGCGUGAGUGAAGAAGGCCUUCGGGUUGUAAAGCUCUUUCGGCAGGAACGAAACGCUCUAGAUUAAUACUCUGGGGUAAUGACGGUACCUGAAGAAGAGGCACCGGCUAACUACGUGCCAGCCGCCGCUGUAA